ACUAUUUUGAGCUUUACACUAAUUGUUUAUAUGUAUAUAUUUUUGUAUCUUAGUGCAGACUUUUGGGAAAAUCGGUGAACUAAUCACACAAGCAGGAAAUUACAUUUCUAAAGGCGUUCUAUAUACCAACUGUCUACAGAAUGCCUCCCGGUUGCCAUAUUGAAUUUUAUAUAAUAUUACAGCACUGCAGAUUGAAAUGGAAAGCAUAGAAACAAUAUAAGGGAGGGACAAAAAUGAGGAAGUGUUCCAGUUCUGCUGCAAUGCACACGUGCUGACAGGAGUAAAGAGCAGAGUGGCGACUUCAACAGUGUGCUGCUGGUCCUUCACCAUCCAGUUCGCAGACAGGGGACGUGUUCUUGAUCAAUCUGUACUGCAAAGGAGAGCUAUGCUGUCUGGCAGGAGUGCCUGGAUCCCAAAACUUGCUGCUUCAGUUUUAUCAGCUUCAACCAAAGCAGAGACCUUUGCGGAAGAAAAAUGUGCUCCUUUCUCCUUAUAUGGUAACCAGCUGAAAGGCAACUCAGACGGCGAAGAUUAAUAUGUGAAGCAUAGACCAACAGCAGCUUGGAGUAAUAUUGGAAUCAUUAAUGUGUCACAUAUGGGGAAGUUGAUUUUGAUUGACGGUUAAGAUUCAAUCAUAAGUUAUCAAUCACAGCUCUGGAGUUCCCCAAGUGCUGAAGAAAAGACUUGCAGUUCCCCUUCUCCGUCCCUUCAAUGUUUAACUUUUCAUAGCAAAGCCGGUCAGACGCACCUGGAAUAGCACAGG